rnacentral:lncRNA from 1 species
GACGAUGACGAACCAUGUCUAUCGUUGCCAGAAUUGGGGUCCAGUAGGAUUCCUAUAGAACUUGGUAUUCCAUCCAUGUGAAUGUGGUCCUAUGCUCAUCAGGUGUGCCACGAUCUUGGUCUUGUGUAGCGUAGUCAAAUUGGGACUCCCCUACAAAGUUAUUAAAAAUAUGGUUAGAUAUCAAUCACCAAUUUAUUAAGAUAUGAAUUUAAUGGUACCUGUGGAAUGUAUCGGAGGCACCAACUCGAACUCACCACCACCACCACCACUACCACCAACACCGCUAGCACCCCCACCCC